UACGAAGGGGGCCAGCGUUGCUCGGAAUUACUGGGCGUAAAGGGAGCGUAGGCGGGUUAUCAAGUUGGAGGUGAAAGCCCAGGGCUCAACCUUGGAAUUGCCUUCAAAACUGAUAGCCUAGAGUAUGAUAGAGGUAAGUGGAACUCCGAGUGUAGAGGUGAAAUUCGUAGAUAUUCGGAAGAACACCAGUGGCGAAGGCGACUUACUGGAUCAUGACUGACGCUGAGGCUCGAAAGCGUGGGGAGCAAACAGG
rnacentral:rRNA from 1 species